rnacentral:rRNA from 1 species
UACGUAGGGUGCGAGCGUUAAUCGGAAUUACUGGGCGUAAAGCGUGCGCAGGCGGUUUUGUAAGCCAGAUGUGAAAUCCCCGGGCUUAACCUGGGAAUGGCAUUUGGGACUGCAAGGCUGGAGUGUGGCAGAGGAGACUGGAAUUCCUGGUGUAGCAGUGAAAUGCGUAGAUAUCAGGAGGAACACCGGUGGCGAAGGCGGCAUCCUGGACCGAUACUGACGCUGAGGAGCGAAAGCCAGGGGAGCAAACGGG